CCGAGUUUUCAACUCCCAAACCCACUGUGAACAUAUACCUUUGUUUUCGUUGCCUCGGCGGUUCGCGCCGCCGGGUGACACCUAAACCCUGAUUUAAUUACAGAAGUCUUUCUGAGUAAAAACAUUCUAAAUGAAUCA
rnacentral:misc_RNA from 1 species